rnacentral:lncRNA from 1 species
CCACCCGCCUCUGCCUCCCAAAGUGCUGGGAUUGCAGGCAUGAACCACCGCGCCCGGCCCUCCAUUUUGUACAAUGAUUAAAGAGGCGCAAAGACGAAGAAGGGAGAAAAAUGCCCGUGGGCAUCUUUUUUUCUUUUUAGUUAUCUUUGUUUUCUAGGCAAAAGAGCAGAGUGAAAGCAUCUGUCUGCUGAUUUCUCCACCAGUCUCUCCCUGUCGACCUGCACAGGGACACAAGUGCAAUCCAAUACUGAGACAAGGACUACUGUGGCUCUCUAGUCGCUUGAGAUGGGAGUGGCAGGGCGCUGGAUGGCCGAACGAAGACUGUCGGGGAAUAAGAGGCCUUCAACAUGCGAGAAGCAGAAACCAAUACGGAUCAACAUUCCCUACGGAUAUUCCAUAAGACUGAUUCAUAUUCAUAUUCCUGUAUUUCCUCAGUCCCUCCAAUAUUGCCUGGGAACUUCUGGUAACAGCAAACGGAGGCCCCAUAUGAAAAAAAACAGGAAAAGGUUUUGUCACAAUGGAAAAUACAUGCAGAGUAAAAGGGUAAGAUAUUUCUGAAGGAAAUCAGAAAAGCCCCAAAUCGAGACUUGAUUCUUAUUACUCAUAAGAGAAGACUGAAGCUUUAACAAUUAAUCUGCUUAGAACUGCAAUGUAAACUGCACGCAGCUAUUACCUGAUUUUUAUUUCCACUACUUUUCUUCCAUCACAAGCCCUAUGCAGAAAAAAAAGUGCUCUAUUUCAUGCCAAGGUUACUCAACACCCAGAAGGCAGAACAGCGACCUCUCUCUCUCCAUCUGCAGAAGCCAAGCAAGCGUGUGGGCCUCCGUAUGCAUCCUUUCUUUUAUUCACUUUCUAAAUGCUGUAACGGCUACCAUCUACCAGGUGGUCACAAACCAUCUCUAAAGUCAAUCUGAGGUUAACCCACUCGACUUGUGAGGGAUCCACCUAUACUGCUUCUGCACCUGUAAUAUGACUAAGGAGACGGUGGCUGCACACGUAGUUAACACCGAUUGUACUGUGACUCCGCCUUUCCGCAGCAGCUCUCCGGCUCUUUAGAGUCCUUUUGAGCCAAGCUGGACGUGAGGCAUAAAGGAGCUCUUUGCAAACGCCAGGAGGAAUUUCUUCAGGGUGAAGUUAACUUUCAAUCGGCUUCAUUCUAAGAGAAAUAUGUGAAGCAAACAAACGGGAACUUUUUUUCUCAUCUUUUGCAUUUCAAGCAAAAACUAAUAAAAUUAGAUGUUUCCACCGUCAUGCUCAGUCUCGAAGCUGCCAGCAGAUCCCGCUUCUAACUUUUAACACAGGCACGCAGGAAAUCGGGAAAUCCCUGCAGUUCCCUCAGAAGCUACAGUAUCAGCAGUUCCUGAAGCGCAAACCAAAACCCAACAUCAUGUACCCCUCCAAAGAGCUCAGCCGGUCUGUUGAGGGACGGAAACAGCGGCGAGGUGCUCUGGAAGCCGUGACAGCCUGGCCGAAAUGAACCAGGUCCCUCCUGGUCGAGCCUACCUCCCUAGGGACAAGAAACGUACCUCUCUUCCCUCAUAUCCAGAGGAAGCAAUGGAGGGAUGUGGCGCUUAGACUCACUCUACUAUCCAGUCCAUCGAAGUCCUAAUAAUCUUCAGGAUGCGACAGAGUGAGACUCCGUCUCAACAAAACAAAACAAAACAACCCUAAGGAAAAGAGAGAAUGUACUGGAGGAUAGGAAGUAUCUAGGAGAACCUUCUUUUUUUUUUUUCUUAUAUUUAAAUUUAAGCCUUCAUUUAUAUAAAAUAAAA